GACCGGGUUACUGUUUAACAUGCAUCCAGAACCCGCAGCGCACUUUGAAAUCGAAAUGGACCAGGAAGCGCCCUGGUAAACUUAGCUCUUUAGUCUUUUGGGGGCACCUGGCUGUACUUCAGAGAGAAAGCAGAUGAAGCAAAGACAAGCCCAUUGUCAGGGACCCCAGAUGGGAAGGAACAGAGAAUCGGACACCAGGGAAGAGCACGUGGCUACUUGAAAGACAUCACCCAGGGAAGGAGGAAGGAGCAAGACAUAAUCGUGUUUUUCUUUUCAUGUGUUUUUUUUAAACGACUUUUACAAACAUGAGUUCAUCUAUUCAUGACAAGAUAGAGGUGGUGAUUUUUAUUUUACUACUGAGAAACUGCAACCCCAGAGAAGGCUUUUCUCUGCCUUUGGCCUCAAAAUUGCUUCAAAAGCAUCAAGUGACUUACUCAGCAGAGUGAAGGCUCGAGACAGAACGUGCUGUGCAAAUGCAGUGUUUGCCUUUGGAAUAUUAACCUCGAGAGGCUCGGGUGAGCUGGGAAGUCGAGAGCCUUCCUCUCGGUCCCUGGCAGCCUGCUCAGGCUGUGCGUGUUUUUCCAGCUCGAAGAGUGAUGAGCCUCUUCUGCACACUCCAGAUGUUUCCAGCCCUGCGGCGCCGUCGUCGUCUAAAGCAAGCUGCCGGGCACCGACUCUUCGGGUGACAUUCUCCCACAGGUUCUCUCGAAUGGGUUUGGCUUUGCUGCAGGGAACGAGGAAAAGACCUGUGUUUGUGUUUUCUCUCGUAAAGAAUACGGACACCGUAAUCUGCUUUACAUCUGGGUCUGACUGCACACAAGAGAGAGUGGGUGGAAUGGGUGGUGGGCAAGUCAGCUGCGGGGGAGGCGGGGGCCCCCCGCCGAUAGCACACCUGUGUAGGUGUGACAGGGCAGCUCGCUGGGUGGAGGAGUCUCUGGAAGACUCGAGGCCCCUCCACUGGAGGCUGGAGGAGGGGACUGUUGCUGUUUUUCAGUGAUUCCGGGCUCUUUCCCCCUUGGAGCAUUUCUGGUUCUGUCUGGGUUUUCUGGAAGCAGUUAGAAGAAACAGCUGGAUGUUGGAGGGAAAAUGUCUAAUGUGCUUAACAUCUUUAUAAAGGCGAUUCACAUUUAGAGAAAGGAUUUGAGUUGAUUUUCCCCAAACCAGCUCUCUUCUCUCUCUGUGCAAAGGCUUUCCUAAAACUUCCCAAUGUGUAGAGGGUGGAUUAAACAAGUGAGAAGUCAUAAAGUGCAGCCCUAUUUAAAUAGAGGCACCUAUGGCCCAGGCAUCUGAUUAUGGAUGAGUGUUGAGUGCCACUUGCAAAGUGUGCAGCCGGCCUGCCUUAAAUAACACUCCCUAGGCCCAAGCAGUCCUGAAGAGGUUUCUAGGAUUAGAUCACAGCCUGGCAAAAGCAGAGCAAGUCUGGAAAAGUCCUAGGAGGAUGGAAAAACAUUUUUUCCUCUUUUGUUUCAAAUCUAUCAGAUCAAGCAGCUGAUGCAAGCUUUGGACCAAAUGAAACAUUUCAAUAACUCGUAUUGUUAAAUCACAAUCAGCUGGAGGGAUUUGAUUUGCGACCGGCUCAGAAGAAUAUUCUUGGGGAUAUUUUGAAAGGAUCACCAAGAGCAAAUUACUGCCAUUGUUCCUUAAGGGAAAAAGGAUUUGUUUUAUUCAAUAAACUGCAGGGCGCUCAGCA
rnacentral:lncRNA from 12 species